ensembl:lncRNA
CGAGAACGGACUCCUCCUGGACCGUUUGCGGCGUCGCUUCUCUCAGAUCACAGAGAGGAAAUCAUCAUCAUCAUCAUCAUCAUCAUCAUCAUCAUCACGCGGACUCAGAUGGCCCGAGGCGCUGCGUCGAUGAAAUUGGAUAUUUAAGGCAGUGCAGAAAGCAGUUCACGUUCACUCUCAGCGGGCGCGCGGCUGGAGAGUCAGAGGGGGUAGACGCGCGCUCUGUAACUGACUGACAAAUAAUAUGAGGCUACAGUGUUGUGAACGAGGCUUCAUAUAACGUGACCGGGAAGAGAACAAGGCACGGACUCGAGUCCUCGUUCAACGCGGAGGCUGAGGAGGAGGACGGUGGAUGACCGCGAGCGCUCCCUUCAGCGCGCAUUACCAAUGCGUCAGAAGAGCGCGUGUCUCUGAACUCCAGCUGCAGACAUUUGGCACGGACUUGCUUGACGUUGCUAAUUGGAGCUCAAAACGUUGCAUGUCACUGAAUGCAAAACUGUAUGCAGGUCCAAAAUCUUGAGGGGGAUGAACUGUGCUGUCAGCAUACUGGAAACACUAAACCAGCUUGUAGGAGGCAGAGAGCUCAGUGAGUCUCUCAAAGAAUAUGUAAUGCAACACCAUCUCUGAUUCUGCUGAGACCUGCGAAUGAAGGCUUAGGAGGUGCAGAGGUCCGUGUGAGCCACUCUGAUAAAACUUGCAGUCCUCUUAUAGUCCUGUCACUGCACCCAAAUGUAGAUGUAAAGUGCACACAUUGCUUGGCAAAAUGACAGAUGGAUAGAGAGCAGGGAGUGAAUUGGCACCAUAAUACAUCCCUGUUUUACUUGUCAUAUCAUGCAGAAACAAUUUUAAAAGCCUCUAGAUAGCUGAUUUUUUUUCCCCAUAGUGGUUUUUCUUCCUCAUUUACUCUUAACAAUGAAGGAGAUAUAGUGUAAACAAUUUAUUGAAGCCCUGGCUUUUCAUCCGUAUUGAAAUCAAAAUGUGUUCCUUUGCUCUAUUCAAUCCUGCAAUCUGUCAACAGGACAAGAAGUCAGCAUUAAAGCGUGGAAAGUUAAAGUGUGGAAAGAACAUUUCUUUCAUUGAACAAUUUUGGUACAAAAAAACUUUGUUGCUUUCCAAGAUGAAUUUCUGAAGAAAUAAAAUACAAUAGUGUAACCUUAAUCAGGUUAAGACACUAAAUUUCUACAAUAAAGAGUAGCUAAAUAUAAAAUGUAACAAAAACAUAUCAUUAGAAAAAUAGAAGCAUUAAUAUUUAAUAUAGCCUAAUCAAGUAUGAUGCAUAGCAGUGCGUUCUGGGAAUGUUUUUAAUUUUGUUUUACUACAAAUUGUAUUUACAAACAUACUUUUGAAUAAUAUUUUAAAUGUGAAUUGUAAAAAGCUUCCAAAAAUUUUUUUUUUUUUUUUGCUUUAUAUGGUAAAGUGAAUUACAAUUAUUAAAUGAUCUAAUUUAUACUAUGACUUUUUUUUCUGCUAAAAUAAUGAAAAUUUUUCAAAUAGGAUGCAAAGUGGGAGAGAAAGUUGCGAGGGCGAGAUCAGAAUCUGUCUCAGCUCCGAUUGCAAAGCUUUUAUUUCCACAAUAACAAACAAGUUUACAGCGAUUUUUUUAACUCAUAAGAAAUACCUUUAUCUACAGUAAGAGAUGAUUCAUCCUUUAUUUUUAUCAUGUUCUUUUUUUAAAUAUCAUCCAACUCUAUAAGAGGUUUUUACCUUAAAAAUUGUGCACACAUAACUAUUCACCAAAAUGGUGGCAUUGCCCUGACCUCUGAAACAAAUGGUAUGUAAAGAGGAAAAGAAGUUCUUCUUUAGAUGUGCAUCCCAAGGGACAACAGUGCUACUGUGACAGUGAAGAGAAAACUACAGUGAGUAACAAUCUAGCAGCGCUGUGGAUGUCAUGAAGGGUAGAAUGGGUUUCUGAAAAGAAAAAGCAACACUCGUGAUACUGAUGUUAUUUUCCUUUUUCUCAAGUAGACUCUUCAAAACCACUAGAACAUUUCUGAGGAAGGUAAUAAAUUGUACAGUAUAUGCCACAGCUAUAGUGAACCUAUUGAACCUCAUCAAGAUUGGUUUCAACUAGUCUCAAACCAUGAGAUGCCUUGUCGCAGGUUGCCCAGCAUAAUCAGUUCAUAGCAAAUACAGAUUUCUUCAAAGAGAUAUUAAUAGUCGGCUCUACAAAGAUAGUCAAGUGUAACAUGCUCUUCGAAUACACUUCUUCUCAAAGAUAAACUUUGAUCAUAAUUCAUAACUCCAGUUGAAAAGCAAAGCAAGUUCUGACAAAUCACAGUGUGGUAUUUGACAGCAUUUCUUUGAGUUUCCAUGAUCAAAUUGAUUUAAUAGGGCCCUGUUUACCAUGAUUAUAACAGAAUGUGUCCAAUUUGACCGCCCUGCAAAUUAGUUCCCACCAGGCAGCCCUAUGCUUCCCCUGAAUCUGACUGAAGUACAGUUCCUAUCACUUGACACUGCAGGAUGGCUGAGCCUGGUACAGAAGAAGGAUGUUUGUUGGCCUGCGGAUUGCAGUGGGCUUUUUGAAAACUGGGCUUCCAUUGUUUGGUGCACAGGAAGAACUUGUUGUGGGACCAAGCACAAUGGACCCUCAUACUGGCCCCAAGGUCACUGCCCACAGCUCUAUGUUGGCUUUAUAAUACAGGAAAGGGUCUUUAAAGUGCGUUUCAUUCACAUUGAUAUCGUCCUAAACCCUGCUCUGUGGGAUUUGGCUAUUGUUUUGGUGUGUACAGUACACCAUUGUGAAGGAGGC